rnacentral:rRNA from 1 species
CGGGUGAGUAACGCGUGGGUAACCUGCCUCAUACAGGGGGAUAACAGUUAGAAAUGGCUGCUAAUACCGCAUAAGACCACAGUACUGCAUGGUACAGUGGUGAAAACUCCGGUGGUAUGAGAUGGACCCGCGUCUGAUUAGGUAGUUGGUGAGGUAACGGCCCACCAAGCCGACGAUCAGUAGCCGACCUGAGAGGGUGACCGGCCACAUUGGGACUGAGACACGGCCCAG